rnacentral:rRNA from 1 species
AGUGAACGCUGGCGGUAGGCCUAACACAUGUAAGUCGAACGGCAGCACAGUAAGAGCUUGCUCUUACGGGUGGCGAGUGGCGGACGGGUGAGGAAUACAUCGGAAUCUACUUUUUCGUGGGGGAUAACGUAGGGAAACUUACGCUAAUACCGCAUACGACCUACGGGUGAAAGCAGGGGAUCUUCGGACCUUGCGCGAUUGAAUGAGCCGAUGUCGGAUUAGCUAGUUGGCGGGGUAAAGGCCCACCAAGGCGACGAUCCGUAGCUGGUCUGAGAGGAUGAUCAGCCACACUGGAACUGAGACACGGUCCAGACUCCUACGGGGGGCAGCAGUGGGGAAUAUUGGACAAUGGGCGCAAGCCUGAUCCAGCCAUACCGCGUGGGUGAAGAAGGCCUUCGGGUUGUAAAGCCCUUUUGUUGGGAAAGAAAAGCAGCAGGUUAAUACCCCGCUGUUCUGACGGUACCCAAAGAAUAAGCACCGGCUAACUUCGUG